CUUCCUUGUCCGUGGUUGAGCAUGAAGAACAGUAACAAACAAGUCCCUAGAGGAAUCUUAGUUCCCCAACUCUAUUGUUUCGCCUGCAGAAAUCAGUAGAACAACAAAUAAGCACAAGUUCCACCCACAUGGGAACUACAUUCAAGGUACCAUCAUAUAACCAUAGAUGCUCCUAUUAGAAGCCUCACUGUGAAGAACCAAAGCAUAUGCUCAAGUAUUUGGUGUGGUCAACUUUGGAGGGUCCUGAAGGUAAGCCAACUUAAGUUGAAAUUGACUUGGAAAAAGGAAUGAGUAAAGGCAGGUUCAAUGUAUGAACCAAAAGGAUUAGGAGGCAUUUCAAAAUCAAGCUACCAAUAAAACACCAAUUCACCUAACUUCAGUCAGAGUAGCAUUCAUCAGAUGGGAGGGCAAAACAUGAGGCACGCUGAAUCGUUGAUAACCAACUCCACCCUAUGAACCACUUUUUUUUCUCCACUGUAAACUCUUACCAAAUCAAAAUUCUUCCAGUUAACAAAACCCAUAUAAAAUUUGACAGUUUGAAGUCCAGAUAGUUUAACAAUGCAAAGGGUUCACCACUUUGAUGUGCUAGUCCACAUAAAUGAGCAUCAACAACCACCCUAAGGCCUAAACACAUUCUCUCUAAUGAAUCCUCAAACCAAUAAUAUGUAACAGUAUGUGAUUAAUAUUUCAAGUAUAAAUAGCAUUUUUCUUUUAGCAGUAAAUAAUAUGGCCUGCCAAAAGAUCAAUAAGCAAUGAUAUACAUAACAAAAUUAAAAAAAAAA